UGACUGCACACUUUGGAUCUUCCUUAUGGGAGCAGUGCAAAAUCAAGGAAGCAGGUGCUCAGCUGACAUCUGCUGAAGGAGCCAUCACACCAGUGCCCAAGAUCAGAACCUGCCUGCCCACAAAGGCUUGCUUUGUGACCCAAGAUGUGAUCAAUCCUGGAGAAUGUUCCAUGUGAACUUGAAAAGACUGUGUAUUCUGCUGCUUUGGGAUGGAAUGCUGUAUAAAUAUCAUUUAAG